UGCAAGUCGAACGAUGAACCUCCUUCGGGAGGGGAUUAGUGGCGAACGGGUGAGUAACACGUGGGCAAUCUGCCCUGCACUCUGGGACAAGCCCUGGAAACGGGGUCUAAUACCGGAUACGACCACUGAGGGCAUCCUCGGUGGUGGAAAGCUCCGGCGGUGCAGGAUGAGCCCGCGGCCUAUCAGCUUGUUGGUGGGGUGAUGGCCUACCAAGGCGACGACGGGUAGCCGGCCUGAGAGGGCGACCGGCCACACUGGGACUGAGACACGGCCCAGACUCCUACGGGAGGCAGCAGUGGGGAAUAUUGCACAAUGGGCGAAAGCCUGAUGCAGCGACGCCGCGUGAGGGAUGACGGCCUUCGGGUUGUAAACCUCUUUCAGCAGGGAAGAAGCGAAAGUGACGGUACCUGCAGAAGAAGCGCCGGCUAACUACGUGCCAGCAGCCGCGGUAAUACGUAGGGCGCGAGCGUUGUCCGGAAUUAUUGGGCGUAAAGAGCUCGUAGGCGGCUUGUCACGUCGGUUGUGAAAGCCCGGGGCUUAACCCCGGGUCUGCAGUCGAUACGGGCAGGCUAGAGUUCGGUAGGGGAGAUCGGAAUUCCUGGUGUAGCGGUGAAAUGCGCAGAUAUCAGGAGGAACACCGGUGGCGAAGGCGGAUCUCUGGGCCGAUACUGACGCUGAGGAGCGAAAGCGUGGGGAGCGAACAGGAUUAGAUACCCUGGUAGUCCACGCCGUAAACGUUGGGCACUAGGUGUGGGCGACAUUCCACGUCGUCCGUGCCGCAGCUAACGCAUUAAGUGCCCCGCCUGGGGAGUACGGCCGCAAGGCUAAAACUCAAAGGAAUUUGACGGGGGCCCGC
rnacentral:rRNA from 1 species